AUGCCAAGAAGUGUGAUUGCUGCAUUGCACAGUGAGAGGACCCAGUCCUAAGGCAAUCCGCUUUCUGCCAUUAAAGACUAGUUUGCAUUUCUGAAAUUGGACUCAGCAUUUACUCUUCCAUCAUCUGGCUUCCUACCCAACGUAAGUAUUUUGAGAUUCAUCCAUGUUGCUGCAUGUCUCAUUGGUUCAUUCCUCUUGAUUGCUAAGUAGUAUUCCAUCGCAUGGAUGUACCACAGUGGGUUUAUCCAUUUAUCUGCUGAUGGACAUUUGGGUUCUUUUCAGUUUGUGAUUAUAACACAUAAACGUGCUAUGGAGUUCAUGUUUUAAUCUUUGUAUGAACACAUGAUUUCAUUUCUCCUGGGUAUAUACCCAGCUGUCAAAUGCCUAGGUCAUAUGAUAGGUGCAUGUUUAACUAUUUAAGAAACUGCCAGACUGUUUUCCAAAGUGAUUGUAACAUUUUACGUUGUUAUCACCAGCAGCUAUGAGAGUUCCAGGUGUGCUGCGUCAUCCUGGAUGCUUGCCAUGGUCAAUCGUUUUGAGUUUAGAUAUUCCAACAGGUGUGCAGUGGGAUCUCACUAUGGUUUCAGUUUGCAUUUCCCUAACCAAUGAUCCUGAGCCUCUUUUAUGUGCUGCUUUGCCAUCUGGAUAUCUUAUUUGGUGACACAUCUAGUAAAAUCUUUUGCUCAUUUUGGGGAGUUGUUACCUUAGUAUUGAGUUUUGACAGUCCUUUUUAUAUUCUAGAUGCAAGUCCUUUAUUAGAUAUCCAUUUUGCAAAGCCUGUAACUUGUCUUUUUAUUUUUUUAACAGUAUCUUUCAAAAACAGAAGUUCUCAAUGUUGAUGAAGCUCAGUUUAUCAAGUUUUUCCUUUAUGUAUUGUGUUUUUGGUAUUGUGUCUAAGACAUCUUUGCCUGAGAUGAGAAGUUGUAUGGUUUAAGGUUUUACACUUAGGCCUGUGGUCCAUUUUGAGUCCAUUUUGGUCCAUUUGUACACAGUGUAAAGUAUGAAUUAAAGUUUGGUUUAUUUUUUGCAUAUAGAUAUUCAAUUAUUCCAGCACCAUUUGUUGACAGGCUAUUGGUAUGGUCUAAAAGUUUGUAUCCUCUGCAAAUUUGUAUGUAGAGAUCCUAAUCCCCGAGGUGAUUGUAUUAGGAGGUAGGGUGUUUGGGGAUCUUAUUAAGUCAUGAGGGCAGAGCCUUCAUGAAUGCCAUUAGUGCCCUUAUAAAAGAGCCUCAGAGACCUGCCUUGUCCGUUCCACAUUGGGAGGAUGCAGUGAGAAGACUGUGAGUCUAUGAGGAAGCAGAGCCCUGGCCAGACACCGAAUCUGCUGCCACCUUGAUCCUGGACUUCUCAGCCUCCAGAACUGUGAGAAAUACAUUUAUGUUGUUUAGAAGCGUACAGAUUAUGGUAUUUGAUCAUAGCAGCCUGAGUGGACUCAGACAACCGUCCUUUCUCAACUGAAUCGAUGUUGCACAUUUGUUGAAAAUCAAUCGUCCAUAUAUGUGUAGAUCUAUUUCUGGACUGUCUAUUCUGUUUCAUUGAUCUAGUCUAUCUUUGUGCCAAUGCUAUACAGUUUUGAUUACUAAAGAUUAUAAGUUUUAGAAUCAGCUAGUGUAAACAGUGAAAAUCACUGAGAGUUCAGAAGUUAAAGUUGUACUGCGGUUUCAAAUAAGGUACUUAAUGGUCCUUUUUCAUCAUUCAGCAUGAAUAUCCCCUACGUAUCUCUGAAGGUUGAUUUUGUUCUUUAUUUUAAGAAUAAAAUAACGUUGUGAACAGCUUGAACCUGACAAGUUCACUUGAAAGCAUUGCACAGGAAGUGGAUUUCUCAGCAGCCAUUGGUGGGGCCUUGUGACCCCCUGAUAGUGAGCAGCUCUGGGAACAGAACUGACAUGAGUGUCUGGGAGGGGACAUGGGAAGGAUCUGCAUACAAAUUGAAGAUCCAAUUCCUAUAAAUUUUCUAUACAACUGUAUAUUUUAAUAUAUAAUUAAAAUAUAAUUGAUUUUAAGUCUGUC
rnacentral:lncRNA from 1 species